AAGACUGUGAUGGCCAAAUGAAACCCACUGGAUUUUAAGAUAAGGAGAUUACCAGUAACUUUUGAGGGGGCAGUUUCAGUUUAGGGAGUUGCUUGACAUUGCCGUGGUUUAUAAGGAAGAGGGCUGUGGAGUGAGUGUAGACCAUGCAUUGGAGAAGUUUGGCACUAUAGGGAGGAAACAGCAGGAAAUAUUGGAGACAAUCAUGCCAGUUAGAGUUCUCAGGAUCGAGAAAAUCCUGGCGUAUUUGUAAGUAAAGGAAACAAAGCUAGUGGCACAGGGGAUGCUGAAAAUGUUUGAUAAAGAGAACAUCUCAGAGUACACCAUCAGAGGGAGACAAUUGAGAAGUUAGCGGAUUCAAGGAAUUGGUUGGCCUUUACAAGGAGGUGAGAAGUCGCCUCUGAAUUAGGCAGAAGGGUUAAAGGCAUGAGUCAGAAUUAUACACAGACCCUUGAGUGAGGAAAGGUGAUGGAGGAGAGCUCCUGUGCAUUUUAUCAAUAAAGUGGAAACAAGGUUACAUGUU
rnacentral:lncRNA from 10 species